UGCCAUUUUAAAAUGUUUCAAUGUGAUGCGUGUAUUAAAAUUUAUGGAGUUAAAUGUAAAAGAGGUUAUUAUCAAAAUAAUUUGUGCUUUUCAAUCUCAGAGUUCCAAAGGCAGGAGACUGCCCUUAUUAGACAGAAUAUACCACUUUCUGUUCGAUUUUAAUAGCAAUUUAUAUAAAAUUUCGAAGAAGUGGUUGUGCUUUUGGAAUUAAGUGUAACGAGAGUAAGAAAAACUAUUCAAAUUGGACUUAAUUUUCAAUUUAAUUUGAAAGUAUACACAAUGAUGGAAUAAUAACGACUGCUGCACAACACUAGCUAUAGUGCUCCAUGAAGUUGGAAAGAUGUCAUUUUUCUAGACUAUGUAAACAGACCGCCGGCAAGUGAGAACCGGCGUAAAACCCAACCCAAUGGUUAUCAGAUGGAAAUAUUUCAGCUGAUACCAAUCCGAAGAUGUGCAGAUGAUUUUUUGAAAGAAAAAACCCAGUCUGUUCCUCUCCUGAACGGAGAACUUCGACAACCAAAUGAAUUCUGCACCAAGAACCGACUGGAGGAAGAAAGUAACUAUCUGGAAAACAUCAGUAAGUUACAAGAUGAAGACAAGCAUGGAUGUAGCAGGUUGUGAAAUUAUUUGUAAUAGAACGGAACCUUUGGAAGUUAUAAAGCAACUGAUGUGUUUCUCAAAUGGCUAAAAGUGUACACCAAUCCUUUCACCCGGCAAUUAUUUGCUAAGGGUCAGAAUUGAAAAUAUCGCUAGGAAGUGGUUGGGGUUUUGUUAUGAUAUAUUACAUGAUUAGACUAUACCCUCAAACAGGAAUAAAUUUUCAAUACAGUUAGGAAUAUACAUAUAGAGACGGAGUGUAAUCAUUUGUUACAAGUUUUGAUUAUAAUAAUAUGUUUCAAAUUUGAUUUAACUUUUCAACGAAGUUUGAAAUAUACAUAGAUCUAGUGAAGGAAUAUCGGUAUUUGUGAGUAGGUUUUAUAAUAAUAUUUUCUGUGAUAUCAAAUUGGAUUUAAUUUUCAACACAAUUUGGAAUAUACAACUAUAAAGUAAAGGAAUAUAGUUAAUGGUGAUUUGGUUUUUUGUGAUCAUUUAAAUUCAAAGCGGUUUGAAUUUUCAAUAAAAUUGGAAUAUAAACAUACACAGCAAAGAAAUAUAAUUAUUUGUGAUAUUGUAAUUCGAUUUAAUUGUCAGUACAAUUCAGAAUAUUAUAUUUUUACUGACGAUGUCAAUAUUUAGUACAAGUUGGAUUGUGAAUAGCUAUAAGAAAGGAAUAUAAGUAUCGGUGAGUAAGUUUUAUUCUGAUUAUUGAUUUAAUAUAUAUAAUAAUGUAUAAUUCUCAAAACUUUAGGAAUAAAAAUUGAUAAUAUCAAGGAAUACAUUUAUCAAUGACCCUUAGUGCUGAUCAUUAUAUAAAUUAUAUCACAAAUAUACCAUUUUCUAUCUAGUUAAUAGAAUUUAAGAUCAAAUCGGGAAAUUCUUCUCGGAAUAAAUACAUAACAGGCUAAGAAUAUCAUCAUGGACUGACAGUAAAGGACAGGUCUUUCCUUAAAGUAAAAUAAGAUUUUUUUUUUAUUUAUUUUUUUUUUUUG
rnacentral:misc_RNA from 1 species